rnacentral:misc_RNA from 1 species
AAGUCGUAACAAGGUUUCCGUAGGUGAACCUGCGGAAGGAUCAUUCACAAUGAGUGUUUAAUGGCACUCUAAAUCCAUUACCCACCUUGUGUGCAAUGUCGAGGGGGAGAGGAGGGAACAUUCUUUUCUUCUCCCCUUUUCAUACAUACCAAAAACCUUUUUAAUAUCAGUCUACAUCUAUUUAGAGUAUAAAAAACUCGAAAUACAACUUUCAACAACGGAUCUCUUGGCUCUC